GCAUGUGCGGGUGAAAUGGCUGUGAUGUCAGUCACCCCACUGAUCUGCUGGGUUGAUUCCACUGACUUGGCCAGCCAGACCGGUGGCCCCUUCCUCCCUUGCUGCUCCUGAAGGUGGGGGAGGGUCCGGGUCCUUGGUCAGAGGUACAGAGUAGCUGAGCUCCCCUGCUACGACCUCCAAACAAACUCUCAGAAAAGGAGUGGGAGCAAGGGGAUAAAAGAAAGAAUUAUGUACAUGUACCAAUUCCCUCCAGUGAAGGUAAU
rnacentral:snRNA from 1 species